rnacentral:misc_RNA from 1 species
GAACGCACCUUGCGCCCUUUGGUAUUCCGAAGGGCAUGCCUGUUUGAGUGUCAUUAAAUUCUCAACUUUGAAGCAUUGUUUUGUUUUUCAAAGCUUGGACUGUGGAGGCCUGCCGGCAAAUAAUGUCAGCUCCUCUUAAAUGCAUUAGCAGAACCUUUUGUUUUAAAGGACUGGCUUCAGUUUGGUAAUUCUAUCUAUGCUGUCGCUGUUGACCCUUUGUAUGUUCUGCUUCUAAUGGUCUUUGGACUGUCUCUAUGAGGCAUACACUUUUAAGCUUGACCUCAAAUCAGGUAGGACUACCCGCUGAACUUAAG